rnacentral:rRNA from 1 species
GAGUUUGAUCUUGGCUCAGGAUGAACGCUGGCGGCGUGCUUAACACAUGCAAGUCGAGCGAAGCGUAUUUGCGGAAGUUUUCGGACGGAAGCGGAUGCGACUUAGCGGCGGACGGGUGAGUAACGCGUGGGUAACCUGCCUCAUACAGGGGGAUAACAGUUAGAAAUGACUGCUAAUACCGCAUAAGCGCACAGGACCGCAUGGUCCGGUGUGAAAAACUCCGGUGGUAUGAGAUGGACCCGCGUCUGAUUAGCUGGUUGGCGGGUAACGGCCACCAAGGCGACGAUCAGUA